rnacentral:lncRNA from 13 species
AUGUCUCAGCUGCUCUACAAGGCAGUCCCUUUUCAGAUUUGGGGCUCGGCAUGGUCACUCCUGCUGAAUGUCUAGAAUGGAAACCAAGGACCUAAGAAAAUACCAAGUACAGCCUAUCCGUGAUCAUCCAGAGCAGGACAAACAGGCCAGGUGGUGUCAGGAGGAAACUGGAGAAAACUUCAAUCCUGCAGUGGGAGCAGGGACCCAUCACACAUCCUAGGCACAGAUGGUAACCUAGGUACCACAGAAGCACUGCUGACUAUUUGGUGGUUGCAGUUUGUGGCAGUGAAUCUUUUGCCUUUUCUGAGGUUGCGUGUGCUGGUUUUUCCUCUUGGCCUUGCCCUACAGAUCAUAAAGGAGAACAGCAAGAGGUCCUCAGCAAGCACCCACAGAUGACCCUGGACAUAAGCCACAUUCUGAGAAACAUGUCAUGAUCUGGGAAGACUAAGGCUUCAUGGCCUCCGUGCAUGGGCGCCGUGCAUCCUCUGGUACUGAAGCAGCCGAGAGACCCAAACUUGCCUGGCUGCCUCAAAAUAUGACAGUACAGCCAGUGACCUAUACUGGGCCCUGUAGAACCUCACAAGACACCCAGACACCAGGAGUGCUGCCAGCAUGUGGUGCAAGAGCCCCGAGGGCCCACAAUGCAGAAGAUAUUGAGUGGUGGGUGCAGGGCCUCAUGGCCUGUUCCCCAGCCCCUCUCAUUGGCUCUCCUCCAGUUAGCGAAGGUGGAAAACGUUUUUGUCAGUUCUGCCAUUACUGCCUAGCAGGAAAAGGAGCAGCACCCAGAAGCACGAUCUGGUACCCAGGCUACCUAACAAAGGAGAAUUUUUUGGCUCUGUGGACAAAAAGAUCUGGGAGUCCCUAUCUAUCACCCAUGAACUUGCUGAGACGUUAGUAAAAUCACAUUUUUUUUUCUGAACUGCAUUUCUGCCAUCUGUAAAUUGAAAGGAAUUUUUUCUAUCCCAUGAGGCUGCUUGGAGAAUUGGUGAGAGUGUGUGUAGGGCAGGUGCCACCCAGCACGCAUUUGGUGUCCAGACCACUCCUCUUCCCCCUUGAUUUUCUGCCUAAAUUUGCAUUUUGUUCCCAAGACUUUCUCUCACUCCCCUUAAUUUUUUUAUUCCCCUGAUUCCCACCUUAUCAUCUACUCCAUGAAUUCACCAGGAUCUAAGAGGGUUACAGUCAUGUAUGCAUGUAUGUGUAUGUACGUAUGCACUGUGUUGGCGCUGCAGUGUGGUAUGAGUAUGUGUGCAUGUGUGUGUUGGAGUCACUGAGUGACUAAAUUUCUCCACACCAGGUAGCGCUCUUGUUUAUUGCUGGGGGUGCUGUCAGGGCCCCUUGUCUCAACCCCAGGUCUGACCCUUGCAGUGGAGCCAGGCCAUUUUGGAGGAAUCACACCCUUGGAAGGAGCCCUGAGGAGUGACUUGUGGGUAUCAGUGCGUAAAUAAACCUGUUUCCUUGAUCUCGGUUGGCUGACUC